CGGACGGGUGAGUAAUGUCUGGGAAACUGCCUGAUGGAGGGGGAUAACUGCUGGAAACGGUAGCUAAUACCGCAUAACGUCGCAAGACCAAAGAGGGGGACCUUCGGGCCUCUUGCCAUCGGAUGUGCCCAGAUGGGAUUAGCUAGUAGGUGGGGUAACGGCUCACCUAGGCGACGAUCCCUAGCUGGUCUGAGAGGAUGACCAGCCACACUGGAACCGAGACACGGUCCAG
rnacentral:rRNA from 1 species